rnacentral:lncRNA from 7 species
AGGACUCCUCAGGGGGAGAUCUACAGUUUAAAAAUGUUGCAUGUCAAGGUUUGAAUGUUUUUGUACACGGCUUGAAUUUAAGUAUGAAAACCGAGUUUCUCUAUAGGUAACAAAAUAAAUAAAUCCGAUGCUAGAAAAAUAGGAGCACAAUUUUUAUUAGGUUCCCUUAAUCAUGGUCUACCUGUGAUAAAUAAUUUGGGGGUAUGUUUAGUUGAUUAACUUAUGUUUAUGGAUUAAAAGGUUAAGUUGCUCAUUCCUUAGAAAUUAGAAAAUAAAUAGCAAAACCUAUAAUAUUGUUGUGAAACUUUUUGUGAGCAAAUUAUGUGUCAUCAAUCACCUCUGUAAUUAAAUUGAACCAGCAGUCAUGUGGAAAAUUUUUGGAUAAUGAAUUAAAUACAGAAAAUGUUGCUUUCUUUAGAAAACCAUGGAAAAAGAUUUAUAGAGGAAAUAUCUGUCUAAAUUUUUAUGACAUGUUAGGUCAAGUAGGGUAUAGGAAAAAUGUGGCAUUGACUGUUUGACUGGUUUAGUAAUGGAAAGUAGUUUAAAUUAUUUCUACACCAUUUCUUGUUAUUUUUGUGCAGUCAAAAGCAUUGGUCCAAAACCAUUGAAAUUUCUGUGGUAAAGUAUGGUAGAGGAAUACUAUAUGCUAGAAUUUUUGUAAUAAAUUUUGA